rnacentral:tRNA from 1 species
GCGGUCAUCGUAUAAUGGCUAUUACAACAGCUUUCCAAGCUGAUGAUGCGGGUUCUGUUCCUGAUGACCGCUCCA